rnacentral:lncRNA from 1 species
CUCUAUGUUAUGUUACUUUUUUUUUUUGUAUUUAGAGCUUAGGGAAAAAUAAAUUUCAUUUACUGCUGUGACUAACCAGAAAGCACCAGCUGAAUGCUACAGCGUAACCCAGAGAUUUUAAUGAAGCAGAUGCCCAGCUCAUACCAAAAGUUGGUUGGAAUGGGAUGGUUAAUUCGCAUUAGUAUCUUUAAAAGCUUUUGCUAAACGCAGAUCCUAAUCACUUGUGCUCACUGAUGGUCCCGUUCUGCUUUUUUUAGCAGCAGUAAUCCAGGUAACCUGGACACACUCCAGCGUGGUUCCCCAGAUGAGGCAGUGGCCUGAGGAGACUGCAAGGGGAUGAAGCAGAUCUGGUGGAUCAGCCUGGGGACAUCAGCUGAACCAAACACGAGCUAAAUUAACCAGGCUUUCUUCCACACCUUUAUUUCAGCCUGCUCUGAGUGUGAAAUACGUGCAUGACAUGGCUCACACAACAGUGUUCUUGCUUCAGUCUUGAGACACUAAAGAGAUACAGAAGACUGUUUUUCUCCAAGGCCCAAAUGUUGUGUAAACCACUUUCUCUGUGUAAGCCCAGACUUGAAACAACACAAGCAGCCUGGGAAGGGCAAUAGUUUCCUCAGAGAGGAACUGAGAAAGGAGAAACACUGAGAAGAGAGACUUUAGUUAAUGGGAAAUGCAUACUGAAGCAUCUAACAAAAACAUGGUUAAAACCCCACAGUGUUACUGCCACUGUUGAGUGUUGUAUAGGAAGAAACUUUCAUGGUGCCCUUUUCAGAACUCAUCAUCGUGAAAUGCUUAAUGAUAAUGACAACAUUGACAUUGUCUUUCUCCAGUCUUUUAUCUUUGAUGAGCUGAUAGCCUGUCACACACAUGGUAACUAUUAAACUUUGUAAUAUUAACUUGGAAUAAAAGUGUGGGGAGAGUAGUUACUGGAAUUGGA